UGCCAGACUCCUACGGGAGGCAGCAGUGAGGAAUAUUGGUCAAUGGGCGGAAUCCUGAACCAGCCAUGCCGCGUGCAGGACGACGGCUCUACGAGUUGUAAACUGCUUUUGUACCGGGGUAAAAUGCCUUACGAGUAGGGCUUUGCAUGUACCGUAUGAAUAAGGAUCGGCUAACUCCGUGCCAGCAGCCGCGGUAAUACGGAGGAUCCGAGCGUUAUCCGGAUUCAUUGGGUUUAAAGGGAGCGUAGGUUGCUUUAUAAGGUAGCGGGGAAAUGCCGAGGCUCAACACCGGGGCUGCCGCUAAUACUGUAGGACUAGAGAUCGGAGGCAGCAGGCGGAAUGUGUAGUGUAGCGGUGAAAUGCAUAGAUAUUACGCAGAACACCGAUUGCGAAGGCAGCUUGCUAGGCCGGAACUGACGCUGAUGCACGAAAGCGUGGGGAUCGAACAGGAUUAGAUACCCGAGUA
rnacentral:rRNA from 1 species